rnacentral:rRNA from 1 species
UCAAGAGUACGUGAAACCGUUCAGGGGUAAACCUGAGAAACCCAAAAGAUCGAAUGAGGAGAUUCAUCGUCAAUAUAUUUAAUAUAUAUAUAAGUUAUGAUGUAAAUUAUUUUUCUCUUUAUGGGUUAUUUAAUAUAUACAUACUUGUAUUAUUUUAUUGUUAAAUAUUAUCGACGUGCACUUCUCCUCUAGUAGGACGUUGCGACCCGUUGGGUGUCGGUCUAUGGCCUUAUUAAGUAGCCUUUAAUUCCUUAAAAAAAUUAAAGAUUAAUUUGUGUUUCCUGACCGACUGCCCGGCGGUAUUCAUAUGAUAAUGAGUCGCAUUUUAUUAUGCGUUCAUACCCAUCGCAAGCGAGGCCAGUUUAUUAUCCUGGUAGUUACGGACUUAGUGCCGUCGCUGGGCCUGGCCAGCUGUUAGCUGUAUGGUGUUCUAGAACUGACUCAAAUAUAAUAUUAUCGGUCGGCAAUGCUACUGCUUUGGGUACUUUCAGGACCCGUCUUGAAACACGG